rnacentral:rRNA from 1 species
UGCCAGCAGCCGCGGUAAUACGAAGGUGGCGAGCGUUGUUCGGAUUCACUGGGCAUAAAGGGCGCGUAGGCGGCCCUGUAAGCGGAGGGUGAAAUCCCGGAGCUCAACUCCGGAACUGCUCUCCGAACUGCAGGGCUAGAGGACGAGAGGGGAGUGUGGAACUCUAGGUGGAGCGGUGAAAUGCGUAUAUAUCUAGAGGAACGCCGGUGGCGAAAGCGAUACUCUGGCUCGUCCCUGACGCUGAGGCGCGAAAGCGUGGGUAGCAAACAGGAUUAGAUA